rnacentral:rRNA from 1 species
GUAGUCAUAUGCUUGUCUCAAAGAUUAAGCCAUGCAUGUCUAAGUAUAAGCAAUUAUACCGUGAAACUGCGAACGGCUCAUUAAAUCAGUUAUCGUUUAUUUGAUAGUACCUUACUACUUGGAUAACCGUGGUAAUUCUAGAGCUAAUACAUGCUGAAAACCCCAACUUCGGAAGGGGCGUAUUUAUUAGAUAAAAAACCAAUGCCCUUCGGGGCUCCUUGGUGAUUCAUAACAACUUCUCAGAUCGCAUGGCCUUGCGCCGGCGACGGUUCAUUCAAAUUUCUGCCCUAUCAACUUUCGAUGGUAAGGUACUGGCUUACCAUGGUUUCAACGGGUAACGGGGAAUUAGGGUUCGAUUCCGGAGAGGGAGCCUGAGAAACGGCUACCACAUCCAAGGAAGGCAGCAGGCGCGCAAAUUACCCAAUCCCGACACGGGGAGGUAGUGACAAUAAAUACUGAUACAGGGCUCUUUUGGGUCUUGUAAUUGGAAUGAGUACAAUUUAAACCUCUUAACGAGGAACAAUUGGGGGGCAAGUCUGGUGCCAGCAGCC